CCUACGGGAGGCAGCAGUGAGGAAUAUUGGACAAUGGGCGCAAGCCUGAUCCAGCCAUGCCGCGUGCAGGAUGACGGUCCUAUGGAUUGUAAACUGCUUUUGUACAGGAAGAAACACUGGUUCGUGAACCAGCUUGACGGUACUGUAAGAAUAAGGAUCGGCUAACUCCGUGCCAGCAGCCGCGGUAAUACGGAGGAUCCAAGCGUUAUCCGGAAUCAUUGGGUUUAAAGGGUCCGUAGGCGGUUUGGUAAGUCAGUGGUGAAAGCCCAUCGCUCAACGGUGGAACGGCCAUUGAUACUGCCAGACUUGAAUUAUUAGGAAGUAACUAGAAUAUGUAGUGUAGCGGUGAAAUGCUUAGAGAUUACAUGGAAUACCAAUUGCGAAGGCAGGUUACUACUAAUUGAUUGACGCUGAUGGACGAAAGCGUGGGUAGCGAACAGGAUUAGAUACCCUGGUAGUCCACGCCGUAAACGAUGGAUACUAGCUGUUGGGAGCAAUCUCAGUGGCUAAGCGAAAGUGAUAAGUAUCCCACCUGGGGAGUACGUUCGCAGAAUGAAACUCAAAUGAAUUGACGG
rnacentral:rRNA from 1 species